AAAUUUGGCAGUAUGGUACACAACUGUGUGCAUUGUAGGUAAUGUCUGGAGAUAAUUUAAAAGUCUAGAUUGAUACUUCCCAAAGUUGUAUUGCUCCAAGAGUUGCUCUGUGGGUAUGUUUAAAGCACAAUAAUACAAAAUUACAGUUUAAAAUGUUUGGAUUGGACAGGUAUAUAUAUAUACAGACUAGUAGAGACAUGAUUUGAAUAUAGAAUAUGGAAAAAUCUUUAUCUGCUUAUUCCAUGAGGUGGUCUGUGUUUCAGGCUUGUAUUUAUCUGAUCACUGAGCUCCAGGCAGAAUAUGUACCUAAAUCCCUGUUGGUAAUUUAAGAGUUGACAAACUGACCCAUGAACCCAUAUACCAACGUACAAUUAUGGUUUAUACCUUUGUCCAUUCACACACCAAACCCCUAAUGAAUGGCCAUGCCAAUUCAGCACCAACAUGCAUGUUGGGGAGUUGUCAAUUCAACAUAACAUAUAUUUUUUGAAUAAAGUGUUAUCUUAAUAGUCAGAAGGUUACAAAAUCAUUGUAAAUUAUACAUGUGUAAAUGUAUUUUAUAUAUAUUUACUUCUAUUUGUGUACAGGUGUGUUCUAUUUUUCAAGACCUGUUCCUUUUUCGGAAAGGCUUGGCUAGGUUGGGAAUAGUGUCUUUGUUUACAUGUGUAACUAAAGUAUUUCUUUCAUAAAACAAACUUACCUUGUGCCAAGCUUCCAUACCUGCACUUUCAAGCAGUACUUGUAAUAUAUAUUUAGUUAACCAAUACAAUACUUAAAUAGACGCUGCAAUAUUUCACACAUUGAAAAGUUGUUUUGAGGCAGAAUGUAAGAGGGCAACAGUCCUAGUGAGUCAAUAAUAGACGGGUAUGAUACUGUAUGGUCUUUAGAUUGUAUACUGGGUUAACAGUUGAAUGCUGCUGUUCUAGGAUUAACUGGCAAAUCAUGUCAUGGUAUUCACAAAAUGUAACCUCAUUUUCAUAUGUGCUAUCUGGAAAUAUGAAGCUGAAAAGGGGGGGAAGUAAUGUAAACCCAAGAAUAGCUGCCAUGACAAGAAGUUGGAUUCAAAUCGAGCUUCAUUUAUUUCUGUCAAAUAUGUGUGUUAAUAUUUAUAGCUUCAUGUAAGCACUUCAGAGGCCCCAGACUACAUGUGCUUGCUGUUCUUUGGAGGCACAGAAAAUGACUAGCGUCUGUGAAUGAACUCAUAUUUACAGAGCAGGAGUGAAAACCAGGACAGACGGACAAGAACAGAAGUCUGGGAAAGAACUAGAUUAAACAAGAAAAUCAUAAUCAAGGAUCCACCUGGCUCAUGCAAAUCUAUUCAUAGUCAUUCAUUUGGCAUAUUUAGAUCAGGGCAACAUAGUACAUUCACAGAAAUGUCAUGUGUUGUGUCUGUUAGUGCUAAAAGCUAAAAGUGGUCAACGGUUCAUAUGUCGCAUUCAUGUUACGAAGUGGGGAGGAACAAUUUAGAUCAGAGAGAUCUGAGGUAGACACCAAAGACUUCACACACCUUUUGUGAGCAAAUGAGUAUCUACAGCUGACAUCUCUGCUCUCCCCUUCAGCAAAACGUAGUGCACUCAUCUGACACAAUUACAGUAAACCUGUCAAUUAACUAAGGAUUUUAUACCAUCAGCAAGAUGAAAGAUGUGUCAUCCACUGCAAAUCGGCUUUUAGCUGGAUGUUUCUGAUGUUAUUUUAUCCAUAUGAAGCAGUACAGAAGCAGAAGGGUCAGUUUGUCUUGCCACUCUGUUCAAUCACAGACAGUGGGAUGUCUUACACAUCCAAACAAUCCGCCUUAACCGAACAGCCAACUGUUCGGUUGAGACUGAGAAAUAUUAUCAUAAAGAACGCUAUGAAGAGCAUAGUAAAGACAGGUUGUUGCCAUAGUAUACUGACUUCAGCCCCUGGUUUCUGACAACUACAAUGGAAACAAUACUCCAUGUCUUUCAGAGUAAGCAGUAGCCUAGAUUAAUAGUAAACACUAAAACAUCUGGAUAGAAUACAAAUCUACACAAAAAGUGGACAGUGGACAUUCAUAUGAAAACGACAAGUGUACAAUCGUAUUAAUUCUGUGUAAAAGGUUGGCAAAGGUUGUUGGCAAAGUGCAAUGAUUAUGAAGCGUGUGAACUGUCUUUUAUGUGCAUUAGCUUUCUAAUCAUCCCUCAUCAUCCCUUUACAUACUGUAUGCCUAGUGUAUCAAUAACAGAGGGCUCUUAGUCUUCUUGUGGAUCAUGUUUCAUUAUUAUUGUAUGUAUAAGAGCUAUCACCGACACUAUUCCAGUGCUUAUCAAUACAGUCAAUGACUUGAACAAUUUAUUUGUAUUACUUCACUAUCACAGCCUUGAGGUUUUUCAUUGUGAACAAGGCUUUGCAUGACAUAAAUUUGCCUAUGCGCUUAGUCUACAGUACUACUGCACAACAUAGGGCCUCAGAAAUGAUGUGACGCCUUUAGAGCGGUCACUGAUUGGUACCAGUUCAGCAUUGAUAUUUGAGAUACUGGAGUGUGACUGUAUCAGUACAUGGCUAUCAUGGGAUAGGCCAACUUAUGUCUCUGGGCAGUUGAAGCUAAAAUGAAUAUCAUACAUCUGGGUCUUUGAAAGAUGUUUAUUUGUGGUCUUGUUCCCAAAGCUAACAGUAGAACCACAUUAUAUUUGUGUUGUGUCACAUGGGGGCACGCAGCAAUGUGUUCAGCAAAAUCCACUUACAAUCACGUUCCAUACUAUCUCAUAGAACCUAACUUGAGUCUUGGUGUUGCCAUAAAAUGAAAAAUUUGUACUUUGUGACUCUUCAAUCUUUUAUAUUUGUGUUUAAUAUAUCAAGAAGUACCUCUGUUUCUUUUGUAUAAGACCUAUUAAUAUAAUAUACACACAAACACACCCACAUAUACACAGAGGAACUGUACACACAGUCAGUCUCUAACGGCUAAAUGUUGUACAAUUUUUAUUUUGUGUAUUAUGAAUCACAUCUCUCUUCUUUUUGUAGGUAUUGGUAUUUAAAUUUCCAGGUGAUUUUGAUUUGGUUACUCUUGUACUUCUAAGCUCUGUAUUUGCAAGCACUGUAAAUGCGAAUCUCAUUGGACUUGUCCUCUAUACAUUUAGUACUCUGAUGUUGCUAUUAACAAAAUGUAAAACAAAACUGUCUAUUGAAAAUAGUUUGUAUGAUUUAUAAAAAUGAUAAUGGGUGAUGAUUUGGGCAAACAAUGCUAAAUAAAUCAUUAAAGUGUA